rnacentral:rRNA from 1 species
AUUGAACGCUGGCGGCAUGCCUUACACAUGCAAGUCGAACGGCAGCAUGAUCUAGCUUGCUAGAUUGAUGGCGAGUGGCGAACGGGUGAGUAAUACAUCGGAACGUGCCCUGUAGUGGGGGAUAACUAGUCGAAAGAUUAGCUAAUACCGCAUACGACCUGAGGGUGAAAGUGGGGGACCGCAAGGCCUCAUGCUAUAGGAGCGGCCGAUGUCUGAUUAGCGAGUUGGUGAGGUAAAGGCUCACCAAGGCGACGAUCAGUAGCUGGUCUGAGAGGACGAUCAGCCACACUGGGACUGAGACACGGCCCAGACUCCUACGGGAGGCAGCAGUGGGGAAUUUUGGACAAUGGGGGCAACCCUGAUUCAGCAAUGCCGCGUGUGUGAAGAAGGCCUUCGGGUUGUAAAGCACUUUUGUCCGGAAAGAAAUCGCACUUACUAAUAUUAGGUGUGGAUGACGGUACCGGAAGAAUAAGGACCGGCUAACUACGUGCCAGCAGCCGCGGUAAAAC